AAUGAGUGGGGUCAGGGAGCAGCUUGGCUGUGUAUGUGUGUGUGUGUGUGUGUGUGUGUGUGUGUGUAUAUAUAUAUAUACACACACACACACACACACACACACACACACACAAACCCCAGUCAUUUAGAUGAGUCUUUACCUACAC